CCUACGGGGGGCAGCAGUGGGGAAUAUUGGACAAUGGGGGGAACCCUGAUCCAGCCAUGCCGCGUGUGUGAAGAAGGUCCUCGGGUUGUAAAGCACUUUCAGUGAGGAAGAACGCCUGGUGGUUAAUACCCAUCAGGAAAGACAUCACUCACAGAAGAAGCACCGGCUAACUCCGUGCCAGCAGCCGCGGUAAUACGGAGGGUGCGAGCGUUAAUCGGAAUUACUGGGCGUAAAGCGCGCGUAGGUGGCUUGAUAAGCCGGUUGUGAAAGCCCCGGGCUCAACCUGGGAACGGCAUCCGGAACUGUCAAGCUAGAGUGCAGGAGAGGAAGGUAGAAUUCCCGGUGUAGCGGUGAAAUGCGUAGAGAUCGGGAGGAAUACCAGUGGCGAAGGCGGCCUUCUGGACUGACACUGACACUGAGGUGCGAAAGCGUGGGUAGCAAACAGGAUUAGAUACCCUGGUAGUC
rnacentral:rRNA from 1 species